rnacentral:lncRNA from 1 species
UUAACCCCUUUGAGCUUAAACAAUUGAAUCUCAGCUUGAAAUAAAGCGAGAUGUCAAAAAUCUUUUUUCUUGAAACCCGGAAAAUUUUGAUAAUUGUUCUUUUGCCGUAAAAAGUCAAGACAAAAAUCUUUUUUCUUGAAACCCGGAAAAUUUUGAUAAUUGUUCUUUUGCCGUAAAAAGUCAAGAGCAUUCACUUAGGGUGAGUAAGAAAUAAGUUGGGGAGAACGAAAAAGAGAAUCGGUAAGUGGCACAACUCUUGAAAAACCGAGCAAGCAUUGAAAAAAAUAAAAUAAAAAAUUAGAAAAGAGAAACAUCUGUUUUGUAAAUAUGAUGUAAAAGAAAAGAAAAAAAUAGAGAAAAUGAAAAUGAAUGCUUGCUUGGAAGAAAAAUAGUGAAAAAC